rnacentral:rRNA from 1 species
ACUGAACGCUGGCGGCAUGCCUUACACAUGCAAGUCGAACGGCAGCACGGGAGCAAUCCUGGUGGCGAGUGGCGAACGGGUGAGUAAUAUAUCGGAACGUGCCCAGUCGGGGGGGAUAACGUAGCGAAAGCUACGCUAAUACCGCAUACGAUCUACGGACGAAAGCGGGGGAUCGCAAGACCUCGCGCGAUUGGAGCGGCCGAUAUCAGAUUAGCUAGUUGGUGGGGUAAAGGCCCACCAAGGCGACGAUCUGUAGCUGGUCUGAGAGGACGACCAGCCACACUGGAACUGAGUCACGGUCCAGACUCCUACGGGAGGCAGCAGUGGGGAAUUUUGGACAAUGGGCGCAAGCCUGAUCCAGCGACGCCGCGUGUGUGAAGAAGGCCUGCGGGUUGUAAAGCACUUUUAGUGGGGACAAAAAGCCGAGGGCUAAUACCUUUCGGUCUUGAUUUAACCCAAAGAAAAAGCACCGGCUAACUCUGUGCCAGCCGCCGCAGAAAUAC